rnacentral:rRNA from 1 species
GACGAACGCUGGCGGCGUGCUUAACACAUGCAAGUCGAACGGAAAGGCCCUGCUUUUGUGGGGUGCUCGAGUGGCGAACGGGUGAGUAACACGUGAGUAACCUGCCCUUGACUUUGGGAUAACUUCAGGAAACUGGGGCUAAUACCGGAUAGGAGCUCCUGCUGCAUGGUGGGGGUUGGAAAGUUUCGGCGGUUGGGGAUGGACUCGCGGCUUAUCAGCUUGUUGGUGGGGUAGUGGCUUACCAAGGCUUUGACGGGUAGCCGGCCUGAGAGGGUGGCCGGCCACAUUGGGACUGAGAUACGGCCCAGACUCCUACGGGAGGCAGCAGUGGGGAAUAUUGCACAAUGGGCGGAAGCCUGAUGCAGCAACGCCGCGUGCGGGAUGACGGCCUUCGGGUUGUAAACCGCUUUCGCCUGUGACGAAGCGUGAGUGACGGUAAUGGGUAAAGAAGCACCGGCUAACUACGUGCCAGCAGCCGCGGUGAUACGUAGGGUGCGAGCGUUGUCCGGAUUUAUUGGGCGUAAAGGGCUCGUAGGUGGUUGAUCGCGUCGGAAGUGUAAUCUUGGGGCUUAACCCUGAGCGUGCUUUCGAUACGGGUUGACUUGAGGAAGGUAGGGGAGAAUGGAAUUCCUGGUGGAGCGGUGGAAUGCGCAGAUAUCAGGAGGAACACCAGUGGCGAAGGCGGUUCUCUGGGCCUUUCCUGACGCUGAGGAGCGAAAGCGUGGGGAGCGAACAGGCUUAGAUACCCUGGUAGUCCACGCUGUAAACGGUGGGUACUAGGUGUGGGGUCCAUUCCACGGGUUCCGUGCCGUAGCUAACGCUUUAAGUACCCCGCCUGGGGAGUACGGCCGCAAGGCUAAAACUCAAAGGAAUUGACGGGGCCCCGCACAAGCGGCGGAGCAUGCGGAUUAAUUCGAUGCAACGCGUAGAACCUUACCUGGGUUUGACAUGGAUCGGGAGCGCUCAGAGAUGGGUGUGCCUCUUUUGGGGUCGGUUCACAGGUGGUGCAUGGCUGUCGUCAGCUCGUGUCGUGAGAUGUUGGGUUAAGUCCCGCAACGAGCGCAACCCUUGUUCACUGUUGCCAGCACGUUAUGGUGGGGACUCAGUGGAGACCGCCGGGGUCAACUCGGAGGAAGGUGGGGAUGACGUCAAGUCAUCAUGCCCCUUAUGUCCAGGGCUUCACGCAUGCUACAAUGGCUGGUACAGAGAGUGGCGAGCCUGUGAGGGUGAGCGAAUCUCGGAAAGCCGGUCUCAGUUCGGAUUGGGGUCUGCAACUCGACCUCAUGAAGUCGGAGUCGCUAGUAAUCGCAGAUCAGCAACGCUGCGGUGAAUACGUUCCCGGGGCU